rnacentral:rRNA from 1 species
UACGAAGGGUGCAAACGUUGCUCGGAAUCAUUGGGCGUAAAGCGCACGUAGGCGGCUUUGCACGUCUGACGUGAAAUCCCUCAGCUCAACUGAGGAAGUGCAUCGGAAACUGCAAGGCUUGAGUACUGAAGAGGAUCGCGGAAUUCCCGGUGUAGAGGUGAAAUUCGUAGAUAUCGGGAGGAACACCAGUGGCGAAGGCGGCGAUCUGGGCAGAUACUGACGCUGAGGUGCGAAAGCGUGGGGAGCAAACAGG